rnacentral:rRNA from 1 species
UACGGGGGGGGCAAGCGUUGUUCGGAAUUACUGGGCGUAAAGGGCUCGUAGGCGGCCAACUAAGUCGGACGUGAAAUCCCUCGGCUUAACCGGGGAACUGCGUCCGAUACUGGAUGGCUUGAGUUUGGGAGAGGGAUGCGGAAUUCCAGGUGUAGCGGUGAAAUGCGUAGAUAUCUGGAGGAACACCGGUGGCGAAGGCGGCAUCCUGGACCGAGAUUGACGCUGAGGCGCGAAAGCCAGGGGAGCAAACGGG